UACGAAGGGGGGCGAGCGUUGUUCGGAUUUACUGGGCGUAAAGGGCGCGCAGGCGGCAGAUCAAGUCAGACGUGAAAGCCCCCGGGCUUAACCUGGGAACUGCGUUUGGGACUGGUUUGCUAGAGAUCGGGAGAGGAGAGUGGAAUUCCCAGUGUAGAGGUGAAAUUCGUAGAUAUCAGGAGGAACACCGGUGGCGAAGGCGGUUCUCUGGGAAUGUCCUGACGCUGAGGAGCGAAAGUGUGGGGAGCGAACAGG
rnacentral:rRNA from 1 species